CGCCAAUGCCCUCUCCCGUUUAGUAGGGGUAGGGGGACACGGCGAUGAGCAAGACGAAGACGCUUUGGUGGCGCGGUGCCGCAGCACGCACGGGCUUGACCCCCGACCUGCACUUGAAGAUCUGCGUCAGCCAGGCUCUCGGGGACAACGCCAUUGACCACCACGUCGAGGAGCAGGAGGCCAUCGGGAUCCAGACCCCGGGCCACCUGGGUCAUCAUCCCUUCUGGACCAGCCCCGGUUUGUUCCAAACCGUUUGAAAAAAGAACCAAAAAAUGGCCCUGGACGUGGAUUCUCAGAUCUUCUUCAUGUGAUGCCCCGCCCUCCACGCAGGACCAGGGGAGUGAAGAAGAGAUCGGGAGCUGCAGAUGAGAAGGCUGGAGUGUGACCCGCGCAGCUUUGGAAGGGGACAGGAAAUGGAACCCAGGCACGGCAGGCAAGCCACCGCCAGCUCUCUCAGACAUGGAGUGACGUAGCAGCCUCUUGUCCCCCUACAAGGCCAGGAUUGGGACCUGCCAGGCUGAUGGGGAAGGAGGAAAAGCAGGUUUUCAGGAGGGAAAACAGGUUUAGAAGCUCCCAAACCCUGAACUCCCUUCACCCACCCAUGCCCCUUAAGGAAAUCGUCCCACAGAAAUCUUCAGGGCCACACACAAAGAUACGCAGCACGGUGUGGCUUUGGGGAAUGGAAACUAGGAAAAUAAACUACGUUGCUCAUUUGACAAAGCCAACACGAACGAAGAUAAAAAACGUUCCCAUGGAAUGAUACGAAGCCAAUCAAAAAGCUGUGGACCGAUGUGUAUCAUAAUUGGAUGUCUUCCAAGAUAGAGGAAGUAAAAAUGGCAGGUUAUAGAGGGUGUAAAUUUGACAUUUGUAAAAAGAAAAGUGUAUCUCCUCUAUCCAGAGAAAACAGUGUGGAAGAAUGUAUCUCCCCAAAUAAUUGCUUAAGCUACUUUGGGUCACUGAAUUAUGGGAGAGAAUUACCUUCUUCUUCACAGAUUUCUAUAGUAUCUGGCCUUUCUACAGUUAACAUAUAUAAAGGAAGAAUAUUUGUUUCUAUUAAAAAAAAAUAAGGAGGCUGGGUUAUGGAUUGAAUGCUACCACACCACCCAAAAUUCAUACGUUGAAGUCUUAACCCCCAGGACCUCAGAAUGUGACCCUAUUUGAAGAUAGGGUCUUUAUAGAGUAAGUCAAGUUAGAAUGAGGUCAUUAGGGCAGGCCUAAUCCAACAUGACUGUGUCCUUAUAAAUAGGGAAGUGUAGACACACACAGGGAAGAUGAAGGCAGAGGUGGGGGUGAUGUUUCGACAAGCCACAGAAUGCCGAGGACCACCACCAAGACCCUGGGAGAGAGACCCAGACCAGAUCCUCCCCACAGUGUUCAGAAGAAACCAGGGCUGCUGACAGUGUGAUCCUGGAUUUGCAGCCUCCAGAACUAUGAGACAAUCAGUGUGGCUUAAGCCUCCAGCUUGUGGUGUUUUGUUUUGUUUUGUUUUGUUUUGUUUUUUUACCAGUAGCCCUACAGAACAAAUACAAAGGCCAUGUACAUAGCUCUGUGGUUGGGACUGGGGCCUGCCAACAGGAGAGGGUAAGAAGUGGGACGGGCCGGGCGCGGUGGCUCACGCCUGUAAUCCCAGCACUUUGGGAG
rnacentral:lncRNA from 1 species